GCGGAGCGCAAAGAAAAAUCUAAUCUAAAUCAUUAAGAUAAAUGAUCACCAAGUUAAAAGAUUUGAAAAAAAUGCCUUUUUAAUAAAAAUUGCAUUUGUC